rnacentral:rRNA from 1 species
CCUACGGGUUGCAGCAGUAGGGAAUCUUCGGCAGUGGACGAAAGUCUGACCGAGCAACGCCGCGUGAGUGAAGAAGGUUUUCGGAUCGUAAAACUCUGUUGUUAGAGAAGAACAAGUAGGAGAGUAACUGCUCUUACCUUGACGGUAUCUAACCAGAAAGCCACGGCUAACUACGUGCCAGCAGCCGCGGUAAUACGUAGGUGGCAAGCGUUGUCCGGAUUUAUUGGGCGUAAAGCGAGCGCAGGCGGUCUUUUAAGUCUGAUGUGAAAGCCCUCGGCUCAACCGAGGAAGGUCAUUGGAAACUGGAGGACUUGAGUGCAGAAAAGGAGAGUGGAAUUCCAUGUGUCGCGGUGAAAUGCGUAGAUAUGUGGAGGAACACCAGUGGCGAAGGCGGCUCUCUGGUCUGUAACUGACGCUGAGGCGCGAAAGCGUGGGGAGCAAACAGGAUUAGAUACCCUCGUAGUC